rnacentral:rRNA from 1 species
UACGUAGGUGGCGAGCGUUGUCCGGAAUUACUGGGUGUAAAGGGCGUGUAGGCGGGAAUGCAAGUCAGAUGUGAAAUACCAAGGCUUAACCUUGGGGCUGCAUCUGAAACUGCGUUUCUUGAGUGUCGGAGAGGAAAGUGGAAUUCCUAGUGUAGCGGUGAAAUGCGUAGAUAUUAGGAGGAACACCAGUGGCGAAGGUGACUUUCGGGACGAUAAAUGACGCUGAGGCGCGAAAGCGUGGGGAGCAAACAGG